GACGAACGCUGGCGGCGUGCCUAAUACAUGCAAGUCGAACGCCGUUGCGAACGGGUGAGUAUAGUGUAGGUAACUUCCUCAUAGCAGGGGAUAACUAUUGGAAACGCUAGCUUAUACCGGCUAUUGUGAGAUGGACCUGCGUUGUGUUAGCUAGUUGGUGAGGUAAAGGCUCACCAAGGCGACGAUACAUACCCGACCUGGUAGGGUGAGCGGCCAAACUGGGACUGGGGCAAGGGCCAGAAUCCUACGGGAGGGAGCAAUAGGGAAUCUUCGGCAAUGGGCGGAAGUCUGGCCGAGGAACGGCGCGUGGGUGGAGGAAGUUUUCGGAUCGUAAAGCUCUGUUGUUAGGGGAGCGGUAACUAACCAGAAAGGGACGGCUAACUACGUGCCAGCAGCCGCGGUAAUAC
rnacentral:rRNA from 1 species